rnacentral:rRNA from 1 species
CGAACGCUGGCGGCGUGCUAACACAUAGCAAGUCGAACGAGGUGAUUGAAAGCUUGCUUUGAGAACCGAGUGGCAAACGGGUGAGUAACGCGUAGACAACCUGCCGCAAAGAUGGGGACAACAGUCCGAAAGGACUGCUAAUACCGAAUGUUGUGCAACCUCGCAUGGAGGAUGCAUUAAAGAUGGCCUCUACUUGUAAGCUAUCGCUUUGCGAUGGGUCUGCGUCUGAUUAGCUAGUUGGUGGGGUAACGGCCUACCAAGGCGACGAUCAGUAGCCGGUCUGAGAGGAUGAACGGCCACAUUGGAACUGAGACACGGUCCAGACUCCUACGGGAGGCAGCAGUGGGGAAUCUUCCGCAAUGGGCGAAAGCCUGACGGAGCAACGCCGCGUGAGUGAAAGAAGGUCUUCGGAUCGUAAAGCCCUGUUGUCGGGGACGAAUGUACCUUUUGUGAAUAAUGAGAGGUAAUGACGGUACCUGACGAGGAAGCCACGGCUAACUACGUGCCAGCCGCAGC